rnacentral:rRNA from 1 species
GAUGAACGCUAGCGGCAGGCCUAAUACGUGCAAGUCGGACGGGAUUCAGGAGCUUGCUUCUGAUGAGAGUGGCGCACGGGUGCGUAACACGUAUGUAACCUACCUUUAUCAGGGGGAUAGCCUCUCGAAAGAGAGAUUAAGCCCGCAUAAAAUCACAGCACAGCAUUGUGUAAUGAUCAAAUAUUUAUAGGAUAAAGAUGGGCAUGCGGAACAUUAGCUAGAUGGCGGGGUAACGGCCCACCAUGGCGACGAUGUUUAGGGGAUCUGAGAGGAUGGCCCCCCACACUGGUACUGAGACACGGACCAGACUCCUACGGGAGGCAGCAGUAAGGAAUAUUGGUCAAUGGGCGGAAGCCUGAACCAGCCAUGCCGCGUGCAGGAAGACGGCCCUACGGGUUGUAAACUGCUUUUAUACGGGAAUAAACCCAGAUACGUGUAUCUGGCUGAAUGUACUGUAAGAAUAAGAAUCGGCUAACUCCGUG